rnacentral:rRNA from 1 species
AAUGAUGCAUAGCCGAGUUGAGAGACUGAUCGGCCACAUUGGGACUGAGACACGGCCCAAACUCCUACGGGAGGCAGCAGUAGGGAAUCUUCCACAAUGGACGAAAGUCUGAUGGAGCAACGCCGCGUGAGUGAAGAAGGGUUUCGGCUCGUAAAGCUCUGUUGGUAGUGAAGAAAGAUAGAGGUAGUAACUGGCCUUUAUUUGACGGUAAUUACUUAGAAAGUCACGGCUAACUACGUGCCAGCAGCCGCGGUAAUACGUAGGUGGCAAGCGUUGUCCGGAUUUAUUGGGCGUAAAGCGAGUGCAGGCGGUUCAAUAAGUCUGAUGUGAAAGCCUUCGGCUCAACCGGAGAAUUGCAUCAGAAACUGUUGAACUUGAGUGCAGAAGAGGAGAGUGGAACUCCAUGUGUAGCGGUGGAAUGCGUAGAUAUAUGGAAGAACACCAGUGGCGAAGGCGGCUCUCUGGUCUGCAACUGACGCUGAGGCUCGAAAGCAUGGGUAGCGAACAGGAUUAGAUACCCUGGUAGUCCAUGCCGUAAA